CCUCUGCCCACGGACUUGCUCCAUUUCGGAGGACUCACGUCAUCCACGUGCGUGUGCGUGCGUGCGUGCGGCGAUCGGAGCAGCGCGAUCGGGAGCCGAUCGCGCGCGCGCGAAAAAGAGAGAGAGCCCCGGCGCGCGCGCGCGCGCGCGCGGAGGAUCCGAGGGUAUCGAUGAGAGAUAUCAGGGGGAACGGUCUCCCAAGGGCAACGAGGGCACCAAAGGCCAGCACCGCCAUCGCGAUCACGCCGUCGGCGGUCUCUACCGAAAAUCGCGCCGCCAGGCCGAGCGUGCAGGAGGAGAGGAGCGCACACCGCGCGAAUCACGCCGCGAUACCGCGCCGGGCAGCCAUCGUCUGCGACGACGUAGAGAGCGUAGAUUCACCCGCUCGUGCGGCGGGCCAAGUUCCUAUCAAAACAUGGCCACGUGACCCCCGGACGGCACGGCUUGUAAACACAGUUUGACCACGUGGUCUUCUCCCUCUCUCCGCCGCGCCGAGCGCCUAUCCGUUUCUCUCUCUCUCUCUCUCUCUCCUCUCUCUUCUUUCUCACUCUCUCUCUCUCUCUCUCUCUCCCUGUCCGCUCCGCCGCGCUUCGCGUUCCGGCUAUCUCGCUCCUUCCCUCUCGCCCUCCCCCCGCCGCCACUGCUCCGCUCCGACGUUUCUCUCGCUCGCGCGCGCUCUUUCGGCACGCAGAACUCCCGUCGGAAUCCUCAGUUGGUUCACCGCCGUCGACAGUCGCGCGCGCGCGAGCACGGUCGCAGCCGAUCCGUUUCCCGCCGCGAACUCGGCGCGCAGACCCAACGUCUGCCAACGACGCGCGUGCGAGCGUCGGAGUCGCCGUCAACGUCGCCACGCACCGAUCCCCCGCGGCCGAUCGGUCACCGCCGCGCGGUUCAAUGGUGAUGUGUUGAGGAAACUGCCGGUGUCUGGAAAGGGUGAAGAGACAGCAGCAGCAGUGGCAGCGACACACUGACUCCGAAUCGGAGGCGCGAAACGAGUCUUCCUCAUCCGAGCGCGAGGACGCACAAAGGCCGUCGAGUACGCAUACACUCUCGCACACGUAUACACAUAUACAGGCGCGCAGACACACACACACACACACACAUACACAUAGAUUCAUACGUGUGGCGACCCUGGUGAAUAGUGCGAGUCAAAACGCAGGCCGACCUGUAUCCCUUGGGCGCGCGCGAACGGAUCUUCUCGGUGGCGCCGAUCGUCGGUUACCGAUCUCCGCCGGGGAGCCGCGCGUACGGUCCCGCGCUCGAUCGCGAAUAUCGCCCGAGCGCGCAGCACGGCCCGGCGAACAUGAUGGAUUCGGUGCCGGUCACGGCGUCGGGGUCCAUGACCCCGUCACAGCAGCAGCAGCAGCAGCAGCAGCAGCAGCAGGCGCAGAAGAAGGGGGUCUCGUUCGAGUUCUCGACCUCGCCGGACCUGGAGAACGGAUUCGAGCCGCAGACUCGCGCGCGAUCCAACACAUGGCCGCUGCCACGGCCGGAAGGGUACGUGGAGGGCAGCGCGCCCGCCGCGAAGGAGGGCGCCGAGGGCGGCACGCCGCCCCAUCAGGCGCAGCUCGCCCAGGGUCUCCUGCCAGUGAAGAAGAACUCGUCGAGGAGGAACGCCUGGGGCAACCUGAGCUACGCCGAUCUCAUCACCCAGGCGAUCACCAGCGCGCCCGACCAGCGGCUCACCCUCUCGCAGAUCUACGAGUGGAUGGUCCAGAACGUGUCCUACUUCAAGGACAAGGGUGAUAACAACAGCAGCGCCGGUUGGAAGAAUUCUAUACGUCACAACUUGUCGCUGCACAGCAGGUUCAUGCGGGUGCAGAACGAAGGAACCGGCAAGAGUUCCUGGUGGAUGAUCAAUCGCGACGCCAAGCCGGGCAAAUCCGCCCGUCGCAGAGCUACUACUAUGGAGAGCACCGGAAGUUUAGAGAAACGACGGGGUCGUUCGAAGAAGUACGCCGACGCUGUGAGGAACGGGGGACUCCUAGCUGAGCCCACGUCCAGUCCCAGCAGCAGCGUCGGAGAGGGUCUAGACCUGUUCCCGGAUAGCCCCUUGCCGCCCGCCAGCGGAUUCCAGCUCUCCUCUGACUUCCGUCCUCGCGCUUCAAGUAACGCUUCUUCCUGUGGCCGAUUGAGUCCUAUCCCGGCGGUUCUCGGGGAAUCAGAUUGGACACCAACCUAUACAUCUUCUUACAGCCCGGAACAACAACUAGCAGAUACGAUCCUAGCAGGCAACCUGGCCGAGACGAUGAAGCUGGAACCCUACCAAAUCUACCAGACAUCACCGCCGGCCAGUCACCAGCAGCAAACGGGCCCGCCGCCGCCUUACUACGAAGCGCAGUACCAGAGGAACAACGGCCUACGCACUUCGUCGUCCGCAUCCUAUGGCCUGCCACCUACUCCGCAGUCGGCCAAUCAGCAAAGAUGCCCGAUUCACGGACUGCAGCCGUGCGCCUGUCAGAUGAACCUGAGCCCCGGUAUGUCACCAUCCGGCAUGUCACCGUCGUACCAGCAGAGCGAGCCCAGUCCUACGACACUAAGCAGCAAUCAACAGCAAACGCUGCAAUACAUGAUUCAGACGCAACAGCGUCAGCAACAGCAGCAACAGCAGCAGCAGCAACAACAGCAGCAGCCGCCGCAACAUCAACCGCAACAUCAACCGCAACAUCAACCGCAACAUCAACCGCGACAUCAACCGCGACAUCAGCCGCAACAUCAGCCGCAGCAUCAGCCGCAGCAUCAGCCGCAGCAUCAACCGCAGCAUCAGUCGCAGCAUCAGCCGGCACAAACUGGACCAGCCGGUCCUAGUCCGCCCAACACGCCGACAUCCUGUCCCAUAGUGGCUAGCACUAUGAUGGGUCAACUGAUGGGUGCGCUCAAUUCCAACAUCGAUGAUCUUACCAGCCAAGAUGAUCUUAACAACAUCGAGGCGAUGCACGGCGGCUUCAACUGCAACGUUGAGGAAGUAAUUAGGCACGAGCUGUCGAUGGAGGGCACGCUGGACUUUAACUUCCAGCAGGGAGUGAUGGGCACCGUGCAGGUCAGCGAUGGCAAUGUCGUUGGCCAGAAUGGCGGCAUCGUCUGCCAGAACGUUAUCGGCACGACGACCGGGAACGCGCCGGGCGUCUACGCGAGCACGAAUGCGGCAACCCCCGCCGCGACCCCCUCGUGGGUUCACUAGCAGUUAACCCCCCUGCCCUCGACACCCCCGUCGUCCUUGCCGAUGCCGCUGUUGUCCGACGGAUCGCUGGAUAACUUCUGCGGGACGACCGAAGGGCAGCUCAUCGAUGUUCGGCACGCCGAGGACGAGAGGGUGAACCGACGAUUUGUGAUAAGAUAUAGACAUAAUGAUGCCAGAUCACGACGAAAUACGUACUUCAAAAAUGCCAAUUUACGCUAGUGCAAUUGUGGUGCGAGAAAUCAUCGUCGCGAGCGCGAUCAACGUCGGCGAGGGCUUCAUCAUCGCUUCAUCAAACGUCUUCAGUUUCUUUAUCAAUGGGCCGUUGCUCAAAAUAGGCCGGAGAUGCAGGCGACGUUUACGAGGUUACGAGCUCUCACGGACUUGAGAACAUUUUCGUAACGUAUGAGAUGAGUAAAUCAAAUUUUAGUAAAAUAUUGUAAGAUAUUAUUUGUUCCGUUAAUUAUUUUCCUUUGUAAACUGGCGAUUUACAAUUCCUUUGUGACUGGCGAUACGUGAAAAGAUAAUCGAAAGCAUUUGUUUCCAUUUUCAGAAUAUCAGUCCGUUGGAAAUUGAUUGUAUUUUAUUUUCUCGUUUUCUUUAUAAAAAUUAUUUCCACGAUUAUUCCUUAAAUUCCGAAGUCAUUAUCAAGAAAUUGAAUAUGAUUGAUUAGAGAAUAUCAGAUUUCCACUUUUAACUAAUAAUCACGGAACCUGAGUUUGAUGUUGAAUAUAUAACUUUUUAUUUAAAUAAUUUAUUUUAAUACAUAAUGUGUAUACGGAAAGUAUUUUCUUUGAUUUUAAUAUGAUUUAUUUAUAGAUUUGCACGGUGUAAUUCGGAGUUUAAGGAUUAAUUUGUGCCCGAUCAUUUUCGAUUAUGAAUUGCUGCAUAACAUUAUCUUUAUAUAAUAAUAGACCAUUCAAAAUAUCCACUAAUAUAUUGCUCAAACAAAUUCUGCCAAUUCAUAUCCAUGUUGCAAUAGAUGUUUGCUGUUAACGACGGUUAUGUGAUGCAAAUGCAUCCCGAAAUCAUCACCGAUUAUCGAGUCGAAAGAUCCCCAGAGCCGUAAUCUCGCGGGUAUCCCGAUUCACGAAGGCUCCCCGACCUUCGAAAUCGAGGACUCGAACCGCCAAGACACUAAAUCGCCAAAACAAAUAAUUUAAGCGCGCUUAGAGCUUGGGAUAGACUUCGCUAAAAGCGUCGUUUUAACAAUUCCGUGUGAUUUUCUCACACGAUUCUUUCAAGGUCCUUUGAAGCAGGGAUCGAACACUGAAAUCAUUUUACUAAUAACUGCGCAUCGGCGUAGUAUAUAUAUCUUUAUCUUAUAAAAUCACAACACUGAAACUCUUUAAUCUUCGAUGUUGAACGUGAAAUAUCGAUGCAACCGAAAUUUAAUAAUAUUGAUAUCUAAUUUUUUGAAAAUAACGGUAUUAUAACGGUAUUACUAUUAUAAUAUUGAAUUGCCGAUAUUGUUAAAUCAGAUUUUUUAAUAGUAAUACUAUAAUAAUAUCGAAAUGCCAUUGUAACGUCGAAAAGUUAUAUAUUAUUAGUAUUACAUUAUACCAAUCGGUCUUUCUAUCUCGCGGUUAUUAUAAUAUAUAUAAAAUUUUUAUAAUUAUAAUAUAUAUAUAUAAUAUAUAUAAAUAUAUAUAAAAUUAUUAUAAUAUAUAUAAAAACCGAAGAAAUGAAUGCAUCGAUAUGUUUUAUAUUAUUUUCGAUUCCUGCUUCUCAAAGCCUUUUCGAUUCCGCGGUCGGCGGUAUCCAAGUCAAUUUUUAAGAUGUAAGACACAUUGGUCUGGUAAAGUUAGAUUUUAACGCGGCCAUCUCGCAAGACGCGAACCAAUCCUAGAAUUCGCGCCGCAGUUGCUUUAAUUGCAUAACUGCAUAUUUGUAAGAACACGGCGGUGAGUGCGGGUGGAGGGCAAGACGGGAAAAGGACGAUGAAGAGCUAAGACUCGCUGACGUACAACGCCGUGCGUACAACGAUCUCUAUCGUCUAUAAAAAAAGUAACCUCAUAGUGCUUUAAGGCGCACGCUAUCGCUGCACAAUGCGCCCCUUUUAAAACUGGUAUGCGCUAUUACUACAUUAUUUCUUGCUGGCGUCCCGAAUAAAAGCGCGAAUUAUUAGCCAAGUGUAAUAGUUGUGGAAAUUAGAUUUCUCUUCUCCUUUGUCCUUUCUUCAAUACGAGAUCGAUCUCAACAGGACCAUCUAUUGCUCUGAAUGUGGCUGUCUGUCUCUAAAAUUCUGUUUUACCUCGAAUGUAAGACACAUUAGCUCAUUUACGGUUGGAUGCAAGCAGCCAUAUUUAAACAAAGUGGACAGAAUUGUAUAUUUUUUCUUGUUGCGAGCGAAGCGAGUUCAAUGAAUGAGUGAAUUCGAUAUUUCACUAGAAGAAUAAAAAUCUAAAAUUUUCAAACCGCGCUGCGGAAGAGUGUCAAGCAUUAAUAGCGCAUGUUCUUCCCGAAGGACGCACUGUGCAAAGAAAUCUAAAUAUAUUGCAUAAAUAUAUAUAGAUAUAUAUAUAUAUAUAAAUAAACAUGAAAGAAAGAUAUACAUUAUAUUAUUGUACAUGUAAUUAAAGUAACACAGAGGUGAAUACGAAAAAGCAGUCGCUUGCAGCGCUAUAUAUAAAUAAAUAAAUAUAUAUAUGAUAUUAUAUAGAAAAUAUUGAAUAUACUCUAUACAGUAAAUAUUGUACGUUUACUAGUGUUACGCGUUAUACAUAUAUAUAUAUUACGUACACAAUAUAUAUUAUAUAUUUAGAUUAUAUUAGAAUAUAUUAGGUAUUAAGGUAUACAUUAGGUACAACUAAUAUAAAUAAACCGCUACUACCAGUAGACCAUGUAAAAGUGUAAGUUUAGUCAUCGAUCAAUGGACGAGUCCGCGACGCGAUUUUAACGUCGCGGAACUUCAAAUCUGCUGCAUCGACCUUAGGAAAAACGGAGAGAAAGAGCGAAAGAAAGAGAGAAAGAGAGAAAGAGAGAGAGAGAGAGAGAGAGAGAGAGAGAGAGGAAGAAAGAUACAAUUCAGCUGAGAGCUGUACGUUCACGACUCGUUGGUGCUUCUCCCUAGGUAAAUAUAUUACUUUGUAUCCUUCUCGUCGACGGAACAAUAAUCGUUAAUCAAUGUCGCUGCUAAAUAAGUAGGCCGAGAGUGUCGAAAUUCGUCGUCGAGAUAAAAAUCGCGAGUCGCGGCAAACGUCCCUCGAGAUUUUCCUCUCGCUAUGGGGAAUGUCAAAUUUUCCGGCUGAUUCUCUUUCGAUGCUAAAUUAUAUAAUAGAUACCACGAAGGCUUUCUUUUCCGAAUAAAUCUUUAAUUUAAUUUCGAAUAAUUAAUACAAUUUCGUAUGUUAUUAAUUACUGAUAUUGAAAGAGUUGAGCUCACGUAAUUCACAAAGAUCCAAACAACACUGACCGCGUAGUUGAUCGUAAUUGCGAAAUGUAUCCGAAAAGUUCUAGAGUCUGGAUAUACAAAUGCUUAUUUUUGCUAUCUUAGAGCGACCGAGAGUCCUAGAGCUCGUACACAAAUUUUUGAUGAAUCGAAAAAAAAAAAUUAAUAUAUACUUCGUGAUACACGUCGAUUGAUAUAUAUCGUCGAUAAUUUAACUAGUGAGUCGCGUAACGAAGCCGUGCCUGGAACUUUUUGGAAUCGUCCUGGGAAUUUGGAUGAAAAAUUAAGCUGCGAACUUUCUGACACUAUCGGUCUUGCGACCAAGAGAUCGUCGUGUCAGUUUCCUGCGACGUUCCCGAGUCUGACCCGUGUGUUGUAGGGGAAACUAGAGCGAAAGCAUGUCGGAUCAAACCUGUCUCGUAAGAUCGGAGAGAGAGAGAAAGAGAGCGAGAGAGAGAGAGAGAGAGAGAGAGAGAGAGAGAGAGAGAGAGAGAGAGAGAACUUAGACGAAUUCGUUAAAUAUUAAUAUUCGUAUGGAUUGUCCCAAUAUGAUGAAACGUUAAUCCACGCGGAAACGUCGGUUAUUUGAUGGAUAUUCUUGGACAUUUCUUCCCGGGUUUCCUAAUGGAUUUCUCUCGAGAUUGAGUAAUUUGCGAGGUGUAUGCUCUAGGUGCUUAAAACGGAGAAGCGACUCAGUAACCGUAAUUUCGAGCUUACAGGUGACUCUAGUUGAUAGCGCGGUCAUGUUUUUACCCAUUUUAGAAAUAAAUCGCAUUGUGCAUUGACGAAUUAGUCGAUGUCUUAGCCACGGAAAUUCCAGCGAUAGUUCAGCAGGGGGUCUAACUCUUAACCGCGUUUUUCGGCGGAAAGUAAUUCCUUUAGUCUACUUUCUACAAUACUACACGACGAUGUGAUGUAAAUUAUUUAGCAAAAGAAAAAUUACUCGCGGGAAAAUAGACUACUGUAGUUUUGCGGGGAGGCGCAAUUAAGAGUUAAACGUACCCGUUCGAAUCCACCGUGCUUCUUGCUUUCUUAAUCGGAUGCGUCUGUUGCGAAAUUGACCAAUUAAUAUAUUAAUCCAAGAAUUAACAAAAUUGUAUAAUGAACAGACUUUCAAAGAAAUCCGCUUCGCGUGUAAAUUUACUUCAACAAGUGAACAAAAUGGAAUCAUUAAAGUUGCGAUUGCAACGGUGAAGCAUGGUGGAUUCGAAAAAUGCGGAUACCAAAAGAGAUGUUCAAUAGGUCAUCGAUUUUUAUGUAGGUGCACGAUAUUUGACAUUGCGAGAAAUUUUCGGCGCAUCCGAUCGCGUGCGAGCUGAACGGAAUCGGGAUAUCGUAAGCAACCGCAACAUGCGAAAUGAGGUCAAUUCUAUCGACAAAUAUAAUUAAGCUUAGAAUACCUAUGUGCGUACGUCGAUACCGAUAGCGAAUCCCGUUCGACUGAAACUUACCGCCUAUACGAUAAGCGUGCAUGCCGAUCGACCUGAACGACUAACAAUGGAUUAAAAUUAAAACUUGUACGAAAACGUAGAUAUCAAGUGAAUUGUUUUUUUAAUUUUUAAAAACAUUUCAUUUUUGUACUAGCAAAAUGUGUUAAUAGCCGAUUUCUUCGAAAAAUAAUUGAACAAUUUUUAAGUAAUAAUAAAAUAAAAUUAUGAUAAUUUUACAUUUUUUUUUAAACGUAACAUUGUGAUAAAUAAAAACUUAUUUGGAUGUCAUUGUUAGUCGAAUUCAAUCGUGUCGGCUAGUCUUAAAAGUUUACAGUGUUUUAUUAAAGUGAACAGAAACAUGAAAUACGAGCUUUCCGUUUUUGGCGUAAGUGUACGAAAUUACUCGUAAGUGUUCAUAACGUAAUUACUGUAAUUAGCACUUAGGGACGGAGUUGAUUUACAUACAAAGUACAUGUGUGACACUGAGGACAAGUGGUUUUUUCCACGACGCGAAACGUCAAGCAGUAAAUGGUGGACUGUUUCCAAAUGAAGAUUCUAAACGGCGAAAAUGCACAAUUAUUGCGGAAAAUUGGCAUUAUUGUCAAAAUAGGCAUCGCUAUGCCAAUAGUUUUUUUUUUUUAGUUUCCUCUAAAGAAGAUACCUAUUUUGAAUUUUUCUUUUUCACGACAUCCGGAUUCUUUCCAUUUCUUCUACAAGCAAGACCUAUUUUUAUUAUUCAUUUGUUGUAAGUUAAGUAGAAAGAUUAUAUUGUGCAUGCAUAUAUAUAUAUAAUGCAUAUACGUAUAUGUGUAUGUGUAUAUAUAUACAUAUAUAUAUAAUAUAUAUUUCUGCGUUCGCAAACCGACGAAUUUCUGUAAAAAGCGCGAAAUCUAGUGAAGUUGAAAAACAUGUAUGCGCUGGAAUCAAAUAAAUGGUUUUUUUCUUUCGAAAUCGACUCAAUUAUUGAAAAGGGAAAUGCGCUACGUUGCGAUCACGCGAUCGACGUUUAAAAAAAAAAUGUCGAACUCACUCUCUAUGUCACACGGGCGUGCUUGAUUUUCGACCGAAAUGGAUUUUAAAGCGUCAUUAAAAUGCAUUAGUUUCAUAUACCGACUCCGAAUAUAUGGUUUCGUCAUUGAAGACGAGUCAGUCGGAAGUUUUUUCGGAAAAAUUACGCUUGUCUCGUACUUCGAAAAUCAUGCACGAGGAACACAUUUUUUUAGGCAAAAUUAUUAUAGCUCGUGUAUAUCCGUCCACUGAAUAUAGCGUAAAAAGAAAUUUGCGACAUUAUUACACAUACAACGCGGCUUUAAGCAAGACAAUUUAGCGUGUGAUAGUGUCGAUAAUACAAUCCUGAGAAGAGGUCAUCUUUUCAAUACAAUGUUAUAUCCGCAAGCCUAGCUUCACAAUUAUUUUCCGACAUGUGUCAAUUAGGUUCGACAAUAUAAGGUAAGAAACUUGCUAAUAUAGAUUCUAUUGUCUUCAUUCUUUUAGAGAUUUACUUAUAUGAAUUUUCACUAAAAGAUUCAAUGUAGUUGUAUAAUUUAGUUUUUUUCAAAAACCUAAGGAAAUUAAUUGAAAUUUAAUUUGCUACCAAGAUUGCUCAAGAUGGAUUUUUUCGUUUUUUUUAAUUCUAUGCUCUUGUUGCAUUACAUUCUUUCAUUAUUUAUUAUCUUAUGCAUGAACCUUAAAAAACAAACUAUAUUAAAAAGAUCCUUUUGUUCAAGAUUGCUCUGUUUUUGAUCAUUCGUGUCGCCAAAUAAUUGUGAAACUGGCAUUUGUUAUGUAUCUUAGAUGAAUUUCCUAACGUUCAAGAUUGCGAAAGAAAUCAUUCGGCGAUCUCUUUCAAGAAUAUCGUUGUUUUUUUGUUCACGACGUGCAAAUUGCGCGCUGCUAUCGGUGAUUUUCGCCUCGAAUAUCGGCGGAACUUUUUGCGAUCAAACAAAUGUCCUGUACGCGUCUGCGAGACCGAAAUGAAGACCGUGAUUCUUGACCGUUAUAACGGUGAGCUUCUUCUGCGAGAUAAUUUCAAAACGACGAACUGUCUUUAAAUCCUAUUUCUUAGCGAAACAGGCAAGCGUAAUGCAUAUGGAGCAAACGUGAAAGGCAUAAAAAUGCGAAAAGUUUUGAAAUGUUCGCGUUAGAUAAGCUUUAAAAAGAAAAAGGGGAAGAUUUGGAUAAACUCUUCGACUGGAAGCCGAAGUUAAUGAAAGACUUGUGCUCUUUUACGUACACGCGAUGUAAAUACGAUACGUGAAGAAAUACUUAAAAAACGAGGAGUUCACCUCGGCUGAUAAUUACACAGCUAAUUAUAGUAGCGCAGUGAAGAGAGAAUGAGAAACAUUCGGGAAAGCGGACGUCGAUCGCCGCUUUUCGGAUCGAGAAAUCGUGAUUCGCUUCGAACGGCGAUUCUGAAGCAGUCAAUUCCAAUUACAUCGAACGAUCCCAACUGCAGCCCAGAAAUACGCGCGGAGUGUGUCUUGCGGACGCCGGAUAUUCCGUUGCCUCACGCGAGGAAUAUCUAUCAUUACGUUUCGUUUCUUUUCAUUUCUAUUUUUUUUUUCUUUCAAGAACUUUCACACGCAGCUCCACCGCGAGGCAAUGCAGAGCGGUGAUACAUCAAAGAUUUAAUCAUUAAUUCCUCUUAUAGCUUUAUUAUAGCAUGUUAUUAUCAUUUUUCUUUUCAGACGUGUAAGCACAUAUGUUUGAGGAUAUGUAUAAGAUAUGUAGAAGAUAUAUUUAAAAUCUUAAGUUAUAUAUUUAAUAUGAGUACCAUUUAAUAUAUAAUUCAAGCUUAUAAUAAACGGGUCGUAUAGAA